ACUCUCGCAACGGAUAUCUCGGCUCUCGCAUCGAUGAAGAACGUAGCGAAAUGCGAUACCUGGUGUGAAUUGCAGAAUCCCGCGAACCAUCGAGUCUUUGAACGCAAGUUGCGCCCGAGGCCACUCGGCCGAGGGCACGCCUGCCUGGGCGUCACGCCAAAACACGCUCCCAACCACCCUCAACGGGAUUCGGGAUGCGGCAUCUGGUCCCUCGUCUCUCAAGGGACGGUGGACCGAAGAUUGGGCUGCCGGCGUACCGCGCCGGACACAGCGCAUGGUGGGCGUCCUCGCUUUAUCAAUGCAGUGCAUCCGGCGCGCAGCUGGCAUUAUGGGCCUUUGAACGACCCAACAAACGAAGCGCACGUCGCUUCGACCGCGACCCCAGGUCAGGCGGGACUACCCGCUGAGUUUAAGCAUAUAAAUAAGCGGAGGAGAAGAAACUUACAAGGAUUCCCCUAGUAACGGCGAGCGAACCGGGAGCAGCCCAGCUUGAGAAUCGGGCGGCUGUGCCGUCCGAAUUGUAGUCUGGAGAGGCGUCCUCAGCGACGGACCGGGCCCAAGUCCCCUGGAAAGGGGCGCCUGGGAGGGUGAGAGCCCCGUCCGGCCCGGACCCUGUCGCCCCACGAGGCGCCGUCAACGAGUCGGGUUGUUUGGGAAUGCAGCCCAAAUCGGGCGGUAGACUCCGUCCAAGGCUAAAUACAUGCGAGAGACCGAUAGCGAACAAGUACCGCGAGGGAAAGAUGAAAAGGACUUUGAAAAGAGAGUCAAAGAGUGCUUGAAAUUGCCGGGAGGGAAGCGGAUGGGGCCGGCGAUGCGCCCCCGGCCGUAUGCGGAACGGCUCUUGCUGGUCCGCCGCUCGGCUCGGGGUGUGGACUGUUGUCGGCCGCGCCGGCGGCCAAAGGCCCGGGGGCCCUAGGUGCCCCCGGUGGCCGUCGUCGGCACGGCCGGUACCCCGCGCGCCUAAAGGCGUGUCCCUCGGGGCACUGCGCUGCAACGGCCUGCGGGCUCCCCCAUCCGACCCGUCUUGAAACACGGACCAAGGAGUCUGACAUGCGUGCGAGUCGACGGGUUCUGAAACCUGGGAUGCGCAAGGAAGCUGACGAGCGGGAGGCCCUCACGGGCCGCACCGCUGGCCGACCCUGAUCUUCUGUGAAGGGUUCGAGUUGGAGCACGCCUGUCGGGACCCGAAAGAUGGUGAACUAUGCCUGAGCGGGGCGAAGCCAGAGGAAACUCUGGUGGAGGCUCGAAGCGAUACUUGACGUGCAAAUCGUUCGUCUGACUUGGGUAUAGGGGCGAAAGACUAAUCGAACCAUCUAGUAGCUGGUUCCCUCCGAGUUUCCCUCAGAUAGCUGGAGCGCAUACGAGUUUCUAUAGGUGUUAAAGCCAAUGAUUAAGAGGCAUGGGUGACGCAACGUCCCCCAUGACCCAUAUUCUCCAAACUUAAAUAGGUAGGAUGACGCGGCUGCUUCGGGUGAAGCCGUGCCAUGGAAUCGGGGUGCUCCAAGUGGGCCAUUUUGGUAAGCAGAACUGGCGAUGCGCGGGAUGAAACCGGAAGCCGGGUUACGGUGCCCAACUGCGCGCUAACCUAGAACCCACAAAGGGUGUUGUCGAUUAAGACGCAGGACGGUGGUCAUGGGAAGUCGCAAAUCCGCUAAGGAGUGUGUAACAACUCACCUGCCGAAUCAACUAGCCCCGAAAAUGCGAUGGCGCUGAAGCGCGCGACCCACACCCGGCCAUCUGGGCGAGCGCCAUGCCCCGAUGAGUAGGAGGGCGCGGCGGCCGCUGCAAAACCCGGGGCGCGAGCCCGGGCGGAGCGGCCGUCGGUGCAGAUCUUGGUGGUAGUAGCAAAUAUUCAAAUGAGAACUUUGAAGGCCGAAGAGGAGAAAGGUUCCAUGUGAACGGCACUUGCACAUGGGUAAGCCGAUCCUAAGGGACGGGGUAACCCCGGCAGAUAGCGCGAUCACGCGCAUCCCCCGAAAGGGAAUCGGGUUAAGAUUUCCCGAGCCGGGAUGUGGCGGUUGACGGCGACGUUAGGAAGUCCGGAGACGCCGGCGGGGGCCUCGGGAAGAGUUAUCUU
rnacentral:rRNA from 1 species